GCCAAGGUAGCUCAGUUGGUUAGAGCGCCAGACUCAUAAUCUGGAGGCCGGGAGUUCAAGUCUCCCCCUUGGCA
rnacentral:tRNA from 1 species